GGGAAAGCUCUUCUUCUUUGCCUUACGGUGCUUGUCCUUCUAGGAGAUUCAACUCAUGCUCGGUGCUAUGAAAAGCGUGCUUACUGGAUACCUUUGUAUUGCCUAGACGAAAAUUUCUGCCAGAACAAAUGCGUGAAGAAGUUCGGAAAGCUCGUGAAAGGCGGUCACCUUCGCCAACGGAUGGAUCAAGGCGCCCCUCAUCCGCUAAGCUCCGGUCGAGCUCUCCUCCUCCACCUUACAGCGAGAGACAUGACUUGCUUCCAUUCUAUAGAGAUUGUUGUAAAGCUGUAUGUAAUUCAUUUCUUCAGAGAUCUUGAUAUAGUGGAGUCACCAGCUACUCUGCAUUCAUGAC